rnacentral:rRNA from 1 species
GAUCAUGGCUCAGGAUGAACGCUGGCGGCGUGCCUAAUACAUGCAAGUANAACGCUGAAGGAAGGAGCUUGCUCUUUCCGGAUGAGUUGCGAACGGGUGAGUAACGCGUAGGUAACCUGCCUGGUAGCGGGGGGAUAACUAUUGGAAACGAUAGCUAAUACCGCAUAACAGUAGAUAUUGCAUGAUAUUUGCUUGAAAGGGGCAAUUGCUCCACUACCAGAUGG